rnacentral:rRNA from 1 species
GCUGCAGUAACGAAUCUUCCGCAAUGCACGAAAGUGUGACGGAGCGACGCCGCGUGUGGGACGAAGUCCUUCGGGAUGUAAACCACUGUCAGGGGUUACCAAGUUCUGAGGAGCCCCAGAGGAAGGCACGGCUAACUCUGUGCCAGCAGCCGCGGUAAGACAGAGGUGCCAAGCGUUAGGCGGAAUCACUGGGCUUAAAGCGUGUGUAGGCGGAUCGUUAAGUACCUUGUGAAAUCCCACGGCUCAACCGUGGAACUGCUCGGUAUACUGGCGAUCUUGAGCCACCUAGGGGCAACUGGAACAAGCGGUGGAGCGGUGAAAUGCGUAGAUAUCGCUUGGAACGCCAACGGUGAAAACAGGUUGCUGGGGGUGUGCUGACGCUGAGACACGAAAGCCAGGGGAGCGAACGGGAUUAGAUAC